rnacentral:rRNA from 1 species
GAUGAACGCUGGCGGCGUGCCUAAUACAUGCAAGUCGAGCGAACGGACGAGAAGCUUGCUUCUCUGAUGUUAGCGGCGGACGGGUGAGUAACACGUGGAUAACCUACCUAUAAGACUGGGAUAACUUCGGGAAACCGGAGCUAAUACCGGAUAAUAUUUUGAACCGCAUGGUUCAAAAGUGAAAGACGGUCUUGCUGUCACUUAUAGAUGGAUCCGCGCUGCAUUAGCUAGUUGGUAAGGUAACGGCUUACCAAGGCAACGAUGCAUAGCCGACCUGAGAGGGUGAUCGGCCACACUGGAACUGGGACACGGUCCAGACUCCUACGGGAGGCAGCAGUAGGGAAUCUUCCGCAAUGGGCGAAAGCCUGACGGAGCAACGCCGCGUGAGUGAUGAAGGUCUUCGGAUCGUAAAACUCUGUUAUUAGGGAAGAACAUAUGUGUAAGUAACUGUGCACAUCUUGACGGUACCUAAUCAGAAAGCCAGGGCUAACUACGUG